rnacentral:rRNA from 1 species
AUUGAACGCUGGCGGCAGGCCUAACACAUGCAAGUCGGGCGAGUGGCGGACGGGUGAGUAAUGUAUGGGGAUCUGCCUGAUGGAGGGGGAUAACUACUGGAAACGGUAGCUACUACCGCAUACCAUCAGAUAAACCCAUAUGGGAUUAGGUUGUAGGUAAGGUAACGGCGUACCUAGGCGACGAUCCCUAGCUGGUCUGAGAGGAUGACACACCAAACUGGUACUGAGACACGGCCCAGACUCCUACGGGAGGCAGCAUUGGGGAAUAUUUCACAAUGGGCGCAAGCCUGAUGCAGCCAUGCCGCGUGUAUGAAGAAGGCCUUCGGGUUGUAAAGUACUUUCAGUGGGGAGGCGUUACCGGCAGAAGAAGCACCGGCUAACUCCGUGCCAGCAGCCGCGGUAAUAC